GACGAACGCUGGCGGCGUGCUUAACACAUGCAAGUCGAACGGAAAGGCCCUGCUUGCCGGGUACUCGAGUGGCGAACGGGUGAGUAACACGUGGGUGAUCUGCCCUGCACUUCGGGAUAAGCCUGGGAAACUGGGUCUAAUACCGGAUAGGAGCCAUUUUUAGUGUGAUGGUUGGAAAGUUUUUUCGGUGUAGGAUGAGCUCGCGGCCUAUCAGCUUGUUGGUGGGGUAAUGGCCUACCAAGGCGGCGACGGGUAGCCGGCCUGAGAGGGUGGACGGCCAUAUUGGGACUGAGAUACGGCCCAGACUCCUACGGGAGGCAGCAGUGGGGAAUAUUGCACAAUGGGCGCAAGCCUGAUGCAGCGACGCCGCGUGGGGGAUGACGGCCUUCGGGUUGUAAACUCCUUUCGCUAGGGACGAAGCUUUUUGUGACGGUACCUAGAUAAGAAGCACCGGCUAACUACGUG
rnacentral:rRNA from 1 species